rnacentral:rRNA from 2 species
GGAUGCGAUCAUACCAGCACUAAAGCACAGGAUCCCAUCAGAACUCCGAAGUUAAGCGUGCUUGGGCGAGGCUAGUACUAGGAUGGGUGACCUCCUGGGAAGUCCUCGUGUUGCAUUCC